rnacentral:rRNA from 1 species
GGUGAAGCCCCGCUUGCGGGGUGGAUCAGUGGCGAACGGGUGAGUAACACGUGAGCAACCUGCCCCUGACUCUGGGAUAAGCGCUGGAAACGGCGUCUAAUACUGGAUACGAACCGCGAAGGCAUCUUCAGUGGUUGGAAAGAUUUUUUGGUUGGGGAUGGGCUCGCGGCCUAUCAGCUUGUUGGUGAGGUAAUGGCUCACCAAGGCGUCGACGGGUAGCCGGCCUGAGAGGGUGACCGGCCACACUGGGACUGAGACACGGCCCAGACUCCUACGGGAGGCAGCAGUGGGGAAUAUUGCACAAUGGGCGGAAGCCUGAUGCAGCAACGCCGCGUGAGGGAUGACGGCCUUCGGGUUGUAAACCUCUUUUAGCAAGGAAGAAGCGUGAGUGACGGUACUUGCAGAAAAAGCGCCGGCUAACUACGUGCCAGCAGCCGCGGUAAUACGUAGGGCGCAAGCGUUAUCCGGAAUUAUUGGGCGUAAAGAGCUCGUAGGCGGUUUGUCGCGUCUGCUGUGAAAUCCCGAGGCUCAACCUCGGGCCUGCAGUGGGUACGGGCAGACUAGAGUGCGGUAGGGGAGAUUGGAAUUCCUGGUGUAGCGGUGGAAUGCGCAGAUAUCAGGAGGAACACCGAUGGCGAAGGCAGAUCUCUGGGCCGUAACUGACGCUGAGGAGCGAAAGGGUGGGGAGCAAACAGGCUUAGAUACCCUGGUAGUCCACCCCGUAAACGUUGGGAACUAGUUGUGGGGUCCUUUCCACGGAUUCCGUGACGCAGCUAACGCAUUAAGUUCCCCGCCUGGGGAGUACGGCCGCAAGGCUAAAACUCAAAGGAAUUGACGGGGACCCGCACAAGCGGCG